UUAUGUUUUGAGAUUUUGUAUUGAGAUUUUGUUCUGAGAGAUUGAGAUAGAGCCGGAGCGAGAGCUGAAGUAUUGAAUUAUCGAGAGUUGCGAAGGAUCUGAUUGAGAGAUUCAAUUUACUCAGCAAAGAUAAUCUGAAAUUCAAGCUCAGGGUGAAAUGCCUGUUAUUAGUGCACUAGCUGUGAUUCACUACUUCAGUGAAUUCUUAGCACAUCAUGUUGAUGUCAAUUCAACUCUGGAGAAUUUGAAGACAGCCGUUUGCCUGAAGUGGACUCGUUUACUACCUCAUCAUGUCAGUUUUUCUUUUAAUGAUGGAAGCAAGUUUUUGCGAGUUGAUUCUGAUUUUCUGCUUCAGUGUUUUGUAUCUCGUUCCCACUAUAAAGGUCAGAAGAGCUUUGAUUUACUUGUUGAAGUUGUCUCCAA